UAUGGUUUUGGUAUUAAAUGUUAAUGAGAAUUGAAACAUCCAUACUUCUUCAUUAUACUAGCCCGAAUAUUUAGAAAUAAUUGUCAAAGUGCACAAAUGAUCUUCCAAAGAUUUGGCCUAAAAGCAAAAUAUGCUUGACCUGGACCAUUUAAAUUGGCUUUAAAAGUGUUUCAGGUGUUUUCCCCCAAAAAGUCACUAAAAUGAUUUUAAAAGAUUUGAGAUGACCUUAUAGAAAUUAACAAAUUUUGCACUAAUCAAAAUUUAUAAUCCAUAGUUUUGAAAUGUUUGAGUGGAGUAUGAAUGGUUGGUAUGAGUGAUUAUAUAUCAAUUGUACAUCUUACCUUUAAAAGUAUAUAUUAUGAUGCACUUAAUUUCUAUUUGUACAAAUAAAUUAAAAAAAAUUAAGCCUAAAAAAAAUAAUUUAAAAAAAUUAUUAUAAUCCGAGGAUUAAUGUGCAUUAAAUUAUACUUUGUUGUACAAUAUGAAAAAGGUACAAAUUAAACAAAUAAUAGAAAGAGAUUACAUAUCUUAAUGGUAGUAUAAGUUAACCACAUUCACUAACUGCAAAAUUGUAGCUCUCUGAGAAAAUAUUGGGACAGAUCUGUACCAAUUAAUAUUUUCUCAGAGAGCUACAGUUCUGCAGCUAUUGCAUUCACAUGAUUAUGAAUUUCACAAUAUUUCAUAUGAAUUUAAACGUAAAAAUUAAAAUGUAUCCUUUGUCUUUGUAUUGGGUGAUGUAUAUUGCAACAUAAUUUUCAAUGUUCAUGCUGAGAAUUGCUUUGCCAUUAUUUUCCAAAUAUCACCAUAUAAGCCUACAAUAUUACAUAUUAUGUAUCAAAUGAAUUAUUUAUAAUAUUGACUGAAAUAGCAUGAUAUGUUGAUCAUGAUAUGAAAUGCUUAUAAAAGUAUUAGAUGGCAAAUUACAACCUCACAAAGUCAUUCACCCAGUAAUUGUAGAUAAGGAACAAUGAGAAACAAAGUCAGGGGCUUGCUGAGCUGUAAAGAACAUCCCAUGUGUAUUAUACACAAAGGGAUUAGUUGGGGUAAAAUUCACCAGACAAAACCUGGGUACAGAUAUAAAAAAAAAAUGGACAAAAUGACCAUGCAAGGACAAAGUCAAUAUUAGAAGUUUAUUAAAGCAUAAUAACAAAAUGUCACAGGACAUAAUACUGAUUUUUAUAUAAAUUCAGGGGGGAAAUCUGUUCCUUUUGUAAAGUUUACAAAAAUGCAUGUGUAAAAUAUAUGUUAUAUUUUUAUGAGAUUGUUUUUCAAUUUUAUACUAUAGAUUUUGAUAAUUAUUAUUAAAUGCUUAUUCCUUUUAUCAUAUCUAUUGCAAAAUAUGAAUUAAAAUAGGAUUUUCUUUUACUGAUAUAGAAUACUAAUAGGCUUUGUAAUCAUUGGGUUUACAAAUUGCUACACAAGAUCUGACAUUUUUCACAUAGCUUCUGCGUGCAUGCAUGUCAUUUGAUUCCAUAUCAACAUAUCAAUUAAUAAGCAAGAUUCAAAAUGUGAAAUUACUUUGAAAAAAAAAAAACACAACAAAAAACUUGAUGACUGAUAAUCUAUAAUAUGCAUGAUAGUUCAAAUUUUCUUAUGAAUAUAUAUGUAUAUCAAAUGAUAUGUCAGAACAAUCAAUUUGCUAUUAUUGUACGUACAUGUAUAUGCUUUCAUAAUUUUGCUGUUGUGUGAUAAUGAAAUAUUGUCAAAUUAAAAAAAAAUGUGAAAUUACAAUUUAUUGUCCUUAGGUUUGUAAUCAAGAAUGAAGGAGUAAAUGAUAACCUAGUGGUGGAUCCAGAGGGGGUGCUGGUUCAGGAAAUUUUGCUAAAAUAAAGUAAAAAUAACACAUUUUGAGGGUGGACCCCCCUCCCUUGAUAACCAAAAUUAAUGGUAAAAUUCCCCUCUCUCAAAAAUUCCUGGAUCCAUCCCUGUAAGCAUUAGACAAUCAUUAAUUUGUCAUUCCAUUAUUCAUAAUUUCUUCAUUGGACACAUGGAGGCCAACUCUCACAUGUGUGUAUAUAGACAUAAUUCCAAUUAUUUUGAAAAUAAAGAGGUCAAAGUACCAAUUGAAUUCAAUAUAAAAUAUAUAAAGAAUAUCUUAUCAUGGAUAUAAAGAUUAAAACAUUUCAAUCAUGUUAAUUAAUAGAUUUUUAGGUCAAUUGAUUCUCUCAUGUGACCUAUUGCUAGUGGUCAGCUUCUGUUGUGACAGUAAACAAAACAUCAAGCUUGAAAAUAUCAUGAUUCCUAGGGUAGAAAUUCUGACUCCAGGAGGAACCAAACUUGAUAUAUAGUGUUUAUGUGUAAAACAUUUAAAUUUAGAUAACAUCUUCCUUAAUGCUAUUGAUACUUUUAGGUAAAGAAGGAACAGGUAAUUGUAAAUUUCAUGACCUCUAUCAGUGAUAAUAAUAAUAAAAUUUAUAUACAUGCAGCCUUAUAUAAAACAGUUUAUUACUCUAAGGUGCUUUACACAAUCUGAUUAAAAUAAGAUCUUUGAUCCGCUCCGUUAUUGUUAUGUCGUUUCAAUAAGAUCUUUGAUCCGCUCCGUUAUUGUUAUGGAGAGGAUCAAAGAUCUUAUUUAUAACAAUAACGGAGCGGAUCAAAGAUCUUAUUUUAAUGAGAUUGUGCUUUACAAGGGCAAGAAGAGGAAUGCAACAAUAAAAUAGAAUUAAAUGACAUUAUGACAACUUAUACAUGUAUCUGUAAAUUAAAUUAUCAAAAUAAAACACUAAUGGCUAAAAGUUGGUUGGUUUUUUGGGUGGUUUUUUUUUGGUAUUUGAUAAUUAAAAACACAGUUUAUAUAUACAUGUUAGAAUCUAAAGGUUUUGAUACUAGCUUUAAAAUAGAUGGAACCAAAAAUGGUCAUAGUAAUUACAUGUCUUUAUGAUUUAAAAGAAUCCUUCUUUAAUUUUGUUGACACUAGAAUAUUAUAAAUGAUGGAUGCAUUGUCAAGAAAAACAGAAAGAUGUACAAAAAUUGUGACACUUGCAACUCCAGGGUUCUGAUUCAAGGUCAGAUCCAAAUAGUGUUAAAAGUGUAUAUCAAGUUUAUAAUUGUAAAAUGUUUCAUCAGUAUAGACGCUUUUGGGGGAAUGAAUUACACCUUAUACAUGUAUUAUACUUCUACUGAAUAUUAGAAUUUAGCAUAUAAAUGCAUGCCUAGAGCAAGAAAAGUUACUGUAUUAUAUAGAUUUCAUUCAUAUUGAGGUUAGUAAUACUUUUAACUAAAUAACUCAGGUAUUUAGUUAAGGUCAGUGUCUUGUUGAUAUUUUUGAUGUGUGUAUGCAUGUACGUGUAUGUGUGCGUGUGUGUGUGAAAUACAAAAAAAUCCAUAAAGAUUUGUUUCAGAGUUUUGAGUAGUGAUCAGUUUUAGCAAUCAUCAACAGCUAGGGUAUGAAUCUGUACACUCAUCUUUGUUAAUUUCUAAAAAGACUUAAAUUGCAUUUCAAAAGUAGUCAAGUGUUAUGUGAAGGAGAUUUGAGGAACAUAUGUUCCUGCUAAAUGUGUGUGAUCAUACAUUUGGGGUGUCAAUGGAUGGAAAAUCAUCUGAAGAUCGAAGUUUUGAAGAAAUUGAAAUACUUUAUUGAAUAUUAAUCAAUCUUAUUUUCAUUCUAAAAUCAUGUACUCAAAGGAAUUUUCUUUCAAUUACAUAUGUAAGUGCAUUAAAUUGAAUUAUUUUUCUAUUUCUUACUUACAUUUAAAACAGUUAUGUUUGUCAUUUUGUUUCUCAAAGUAGAAAAUAUUUUCAUGUAGAUUUUUCUUCCAAGAUUAUUAUUCCUUAGAUUUCAAUUUAGAACAUUCAAGUAAAAGAAAAUAAGACUCUAAAAAAGGAGGUCUCCAUGUGAAUUGAGAGAAAGAAACGGAAAUUAUAAAUUCUGUGGUGACAUUAAAUUUCAUUUCAUAAUUUUGCCAGCUAUAAUAAGGUAUGAUAUGAGAUUCAGGGUGGUACAUUUAUGUGCAUACAUGUACCUUGUAUCUCCAAUUGAAAAUUGAUUGCUUUAAAUCAAUUUCAACAUUAUGAAUAUCCUACAAAAGUAAAACAUAAUGAUUUUAAAGUUUAAAAAACACAUUGUUUCACUCCUGAAACCUUGACCUCACAUGGAUAUAUAUUGGUAUUUAGUGUUGGUAGGUUUUGGUUCUUUUUGGGUGGAUUUUGGAUAAUGUAGUGAAUUUCAGUUAGUUGUAGCACAGUAACAUGGAGUGAGCUUGCUUGCUUCCUGAUAUCUAGUCAAUCACUUUUUAAGACAUACAUAUUUUUCAAACUUGCAUUGCACAUAUUUGUUUACAUUUUUGGUAGGAGUGUUUUAUAUGCUCACUAUAUAUGUCAUCUUCAUAUAUAGAUGUGUAAUUGUUUGCAAAAAGAGGAGACAUCUAAAUUCCUAAUAAAAAUGAUAAUUACAUUUAAAUCAUAAUUGUGCACUUCAUGUACUUUUUACAUGCAAAAUCAUUUCAUAUAAUUAUAUGGUUUUUGUAUUUUCUGUCCAUAUCUGUAAGUCUGUCUGUCACAAAGUCUUAAAUUGUGCAUUAAAAUGCUUCUCCUCCUGUAUGGAUUAUCUGAUAAACUUGAAACUUUGUACAAUGCUUCAUUGCCAUUUGCAGAUGUGAACAUUGUUGGGAGAGGAUUUAUUGUUAUCCUAAAAGUUAUAGUGGUUCGAUCCAAGAGGGAUGCGGGUGUAAAUAGCUUGUGACCAUUUCUCCUAGUUGCAAACAUAUUGCAGAGUCUUGAAUUUUUAUUUUUUUUAAAUUUUUUUUUUUAUACAAUACUUCAUUAUCAUUUAAUGAUGUCUAGAUUUCUCUGACCCAGGAAUCUAAUAUUUUCCUAAUAUCUACAGUGGAUCAAAAACAAGUAUUUUAAGUGUUUUUUUUUUUUUUUUACCCUUUAUUGAAUAAUCUUUGUAAAAUUGCAUGUGCAAAAGUAAAGAUGCUUUGAAAAUUCAAUUACAAAAUUAAACAUUUCACUGGUUUGUUAAGGUACUCACUACACUAAAGCUUUAUGACACUAUGUUACAAGAUGGCGAUUUAAAUGUUUUGGGAAAGUAUUUGUAUUGAUCGAUUUAUUCGUCUAUAACACCAUAGCUAAGUGGUUAAUUAAUAAAGCAUUGGGCAAGAGAGAGAGAGAGAGAGAGAGAGAGAGAGAGAGAGAGAGCAUUGGGCUGGUGAACUACAGAUCUUGAGCUCAAAUCCACCAGUCUUUUGUUCAUGUGUUGAAAUAAUAUUUUUGAAAAUCAUGUUUUUAUCCAAAUUUGCAUUUUUUGCUGUUUUUGGCAUACACACUUAUUGUAUAUCAUCAGAUCUUUUUUAAAAUAUUAAAUCUAUUUGUACUGAUUUGAGAAACUAUUUCCCGGUGUAGUGAGCCACCUUAAAUGUAAACAUAAAAAGACUCCAGUCUUUGUUUACAUAACACAGAAUGAAGGCUAAAAUAUUGUUUUUAUUCCUGCAUCCAGAAGGUUAAAAUUUUGGCUGUGAACACAGAUUCAGUUAUACUUUUCAUGUUUAACAUUUAAAAAAAUGAAAACAAAAUUAAAAAAAAAAAAACAAAAAAAACGUAAACGUCCUGUUUGAGAAUUUUUCACUUGUAUGGAGACGUCACCAUUGCCAGUGAAGGGCUGCAACAUUUAGGUCUAUGCUCGGUGCUUAUGCCCUUUGUGUACCUUUGAGCAGGGGUGGAUUAAUAUUGUGUCACACAUUUAGGUAAUGUCAUAUAACUGUAAACAAUGUCUCUAGAGGAUUUGGGUGUUGCUCAACCGGAAAUGUAAUAAAUGAAUGCAUAAGAUUGGAUCAUACUUCUUUUUGGACUAGAACAUCCAGGACUGAACUUUCUUAGGGUCGAGAUGUCUGUUAACCGUUUAUUCGUAUUUACCUGUCAAAGUCUUUUUGACGCUUCAGGUAUAGGAGAAAGUACUUUGACUUCAGAAUGAAUGUGAUUGUCAGAGGGAGAAUGAUGGACCGAAGCAUGCAUUUUGUAAAAUGAUUCUUGUGUUGUUAAAUCUUCGAGAAUCUUGUUGGAGAUGUCUGAUUCGGUUCACGAAACAACUUAGCAUCAUCUAGCAGUAGCAGAUUUCCCCUUGUACAAACAUCUUAUGGAAUGAUUUGUCGUAAGAUGAAUAUAAGUGAAGAGGAGAGCAUCAAGGAAUGCUACGUUUACAUCAACGUUGACGUAAUGAUGAACUUUCAUGACGCGUCAUCAGCUUGCUCUAGUUACACCGGAACACUUCCACCAUAUUACAACAACAACCAAAUGAGAGAACUAGUUCACAAAACUCUUAAUACCUGGCCGGGAGAUAGAACUAAUUUUCCUGAGCAAAUUUGGCUGGGAGUAACAGACGAACUGGUGGAAAAUGAGUGGCGACAAACGAAUGGGGACAUCGCGAAUAUCACUUCAUACACCAGUUGGUGGUCACCGGAAGCUCUCAGUAAAACCAACACUAAAGAAACCAACUGCAUCGCCAUGAACACAACUUCAUAUUUGUGGGAACGCAGGAAUUGUUUUGAAAAGAUCACGGGAGGGAUUGUUUGUAGAAGAGUCAAUAACCCGCGCUUUGGUCCAAGACGGCAGGGGCUUGAUGAGCAAUAUUUCCAACGACCACUGGAAUUGACUGGGAAAGUCUUUCUAGACAACAUGUUCAACAUAAUUCUGAACAAUCUGGAUGCCUGCAUCGUUUAUUGCCACGGCCGUAAGUUGUGCAAGGCCGUCGUAUGGACAUCCAUUAACUUUUGUUAUGGAUACAACCGCGUCGUCACCCAACUCGACAUCAACAUACCCUAUCCUGAAGCCCAGCUCUACAAUCUACGGGUAGAAUAAGCAGAUUACCAUCAUCUUAAAUAUCAUCACCUUAUUCCAGUUACAAGGGCGAUAAUUUUGAUGUUUACUAGCCUUGAAUUUCGUAGUUAUGUCUUUUAUGUACUUUCUAUUUACAUGUAUUUCCAAAGACAUUUAGGAUCGUAUAAAGUCAAUAUUUUGAUGUUUCACAUGUUUACCUUUCACUGUUCUAUGUACAUAAUUCAUUAUACCCGCCAUUUUGCCAGUCUUCUUGAACAUUAUUUGUUUUCUGCAAAUUUCAUUGGCCAAAAGGCUUAAAUCUGGCGUACCAGAUUGAGCGUUUAUUUUUAGCAUCUCAUUGGUUUGUCAUAAGGAGCUGCAUCGGCAGAUGUACUCACUCUGCUAGGGUCAAGAACUUUGGUUCGUGUUUUACAAGAAUUUCGUGUACGCUUCUUCUACAUAGAGGGGGAGGGGGUAGGUUUUUUUUCAACAUGCGGUAAAUGAUCAUAAUUUGGCGUUAAGAAAGAGUCCUAAAAUUGAGAUUUUUCCCUAUAAUAAUUAACAUGUACAUGUAGAUACCUUUGUAGAGUCAAUUUAAGGUGGUUCAGGGUAGAAUUAGGUAUCCCUUACCUUAGUGUUUUUUCAGAGUUAGUAUUUAAACAUUUAGGCUAUCCCGGUGUUUGUAUUUAGCUUUGCUCUAGAUCACACACGUUAGCAUUGACACAGGUUAUGGAAGCUUGAUAGUGUCAUAACUUUAGAUUUUCUUAUCAUUUCAGUACUGAUUCUUUUUUUCGUAAUUUUGGUCAUUUAUUUUGAAUACAGUUUACAUUCCCCUUUGGUUAAGCUCAUCCAUUUUCAUUGGAAAACUUAUUAAUUGUUAUCAACUACUCUUAAACCAUAUUUACUUUUGUCAUA